UACGUAGGGUGCGAGCGUUAAUCGGAAUUACUGGGCGUAAAGGGUGCGCAGGCGGUUAUGUAAGUCAGAUGUGAAAUCCCCGGGCUUAACCUGGGAAUUGCGUUUGAAACUACAUGACUAGAGUGUAACAGAGGGAAGUGGAAUUCCAUGUGUAGCAGUGAAAUGCGUAGAGAUAUGGAGGAACAUCGAUGGCGAAGGCAGCUUCCUGGGUUAACACUGACGCUCAUGCACGAAAGCGUGGGGAGCAAACAGG
rnacentral:rRNA from 1 species